UACGAAGGGGGCUAGCGUUGCUCGGAAUUACUGGGCGUAAAGGGCGCGUAGGCGGCUUGGCAAGUGGAUGGUGAAAUCCCUCGGCUUAACCGAGGAACUGCCGUCCAAACUGCUUCGCUUGAGACCGGGAGAGGUGAGUGGAAUUCCCAGUGUAGCGGUGAAAUGCGUAGAUAUUGGGAGGAACACCAGUGGCGAAGGCGGCUCACUGGACCGGUACUGACGCUGAUGCGCGAAAGCGUGGGGAGCAAACGGG
rnacentral:rRNA from 1 species